rnacentral:rRNA from 1 species
GUUUUCGUCGGGAUGAAUGAUCCUUCUAUGGGUGCAUUUACCGAAACCUCAGUGAACCAGAAAGAUGGUUGGCCAAACGACAAUAAAUAAAUUGGCCCCUUAGUUAUAUUUCUUAUAGAAUUCAACUGGGGCACUGGUCCUUUCGAAGGGCAACACCUUGAGUCUGCAGGGUCAUUCCAAACAGGAACCACCUGCAGCCUAAUAGCCGAAUUAGCUGUUAAGCUCACAGACUAAAUAACGGUGGGCGCCAGUGACCUCUCACGGCGUUUCAGAUAUAGUCGUAUCUUGACUCCAAAACUGUUAAGUAUGUGCACAUCUUUAACUGUGCUUACAAGGGGAGAAAAAAAAAUUGUUCCGUAGGUGAACCUGCGGAAGGAUCAUUA